GGCUCGUUAGCUCAGCGGUGAGAGCGCCCGUUUAUGAAGCGGAGGACGGGGGUUCAAAUCCCUCACGAGCUG